UUAAGCGACUAAGCGUACACGGUGGAUGCCCUGGCAGUCAGAGGCGAUGAAGGACGUGCUAAUCUGCGAUAAGCGUCGGUAAGGUGAUAUGAACCGUUAUAACCGGCGAUUUCCGAAUGGGGAAACCCAGUGUGUUUCGACACACUAUCAUUAACUGAAUCCAUAGGUUAAUGAGGCGAACCGGGGGAACUGAAACAUCUAAGUACCCCGAGGAAAAGGAAAUCAACCGAGAUUCCCCCAGUAGCGGCGAGCGAACGGGGAGCAGCCCAGAGCCUGAAUCAGUGUGUGUGUUAGUGGAAGCGUCUGGAAAGGCGCGCGAUACAGGGUGACAGCCCCGUACACAAAAAUGCACACGCUGUGAGCUCGAUGAGUAGGGCGGGACACGUGGUAUCCUGUCUGAAUAUGGGGGGACCAUCCUCCAAGGCUAAAUACUCCUGACUGACCGAUAGUGAACCAGUACCGUGAGGGAAAGGCGAAAAGAACCCCGGCAAGGGGAGUGAAAAAGAACCUGAAACCGUGUACGUACAAGCAGUGGGAGCCUCUUUAUGGGGUGACUGCGUACCUUUUGUAUAAUGGGUCAGCGACUUAUAUUCUGUAGCAAGGUUAACCGAAUAGGGGAGCCGAAGGGAAACCGAGUCUUAACUGGGCGUUAAGUUGCAGGGUAUAGACCCGAAACCCGGUGAUCUAGCCAUGGGCAGGUUGAAGGUUGGGUAACACUAACUGGAGGACCGAACCGACUAAUGUUGAAAAAUUAGCGGAUGACUUGUGGCUGGGGGUGAAAGGCCAAUCAAACCGGGAGAUAGCUGGUUCUCCCCGAAAGCUAUUUAGGUAGCGCCUCGUGAAUUCAUCUCCGGGGGUAGAGCACUGUUUCGGCAAGGGGGUCAUCCCGACUUACCAACCCGAUGCAAACUGCGAAUACCGGAGAAUGUUAUCACGGGAGACACACGGCGGGUGCUAACGUCCGUCGUGAAGAGGGAAACAACCCAGACCGCCAGCUAAGGUCCCAAAGUCAUGGUUAAGUGGGAAACGAUGUGGGAAGGCCCAGACAGCCAGGAUGUUGGCUUAGAAGCAGCCAUCAUUUAAAGAAAGCGUAAUAGCUCACUGGUCGAGUCGGCCUGCGCGGAAGAUGUAACGGGGCUAAACCAUGCACCGAAGCUGCGGCAGCGACGCUUAUGCGUUGUUGGGUAGGGGAGCGUUCUGUAAGCCUGUGAAGGUGUGCUGUGAGGCAUGCUGGAGGUAUCAGAAGUGCGAAUGCUGACAUAAGUAACGAUAAAGCGGGUGAAAAGCCCGCUCGCCGGAAGACCAAGGGUUCCUGUCCAACGUUAAUCGGGGCAGGGUGAGUCGACCCCUAAGGCGAGGCCGAAAGGCGUAGUCGAUGGGAAACAGGUUAAUAUUCCUGUACUUGGUGUUACUGCGAAGGGGGGACGGAGAAGGCUAUGUUGGCCGGGCGACGGUUGUCCCGGUUUAAGCGUGUAGGCUGAUUUUCCAGGCAAAUCCGGAAAAUCAAGGCUGAGGCGUGAUGACGAGGCACUACGGUGCUGAAGCAACAAAUGCCCUGCUUCCAGGAAAAGCCUCUAAGCAUCAGGUAACAUCAAAUCGUACCCCAAACCGACACAGGUGGUCAGGUAGAGAAUACCAAGGCGCUUGAGAGAACUCGGGUGAAGGAACUAGGCAAAAUGGUGCCGUAACUUCGGGAGAAGGCACGCUGAUAUGUAGGUGAAGUCCCUCGCGGAUGGAGCUGAAAUCAGUCGAAGAUACCAGCUGGCUGCAACUGUUUAUUAAAAACACAGCACUGUGCAAACACGAAAGUGGACGUAUACGGUGUGACGCCUGCCCGGUGCCGGAAGGUUAAUUGAUGGGGUCAGCGCAAGCGAAGCUCUUGAUCGAAGCCCCGGUAAACGGCGGCCGUAACUAUAACGGUCCUAAGGUAGCGAAAUUCCUUGUCGGGUAAGUUCCGACCUGCACGAAUGGCGUAAUGAUGGCCAGGCUGUCUCCACCCGAGACUCAGUGAAAUUGAACUCGCUGUGAAGAUGCAGUGUACCCGCGGCAAGACGGAAAGACCCCGUGAACCUUUACUAUAGCUUGACACUGAACAUUGAGCCUUGAUGUGUAGGAUAGGUGGGAGGCUUAGAAGUGUGGACGCCAGUCUGCAUGGAGCCGGCCUUGAAAUACCACCCUUUAAUGUUUGAUGUUCUAACGUGGACCCGUAAUCCGGGUUGCGGACAGUGUCUGGUGGGUAGUUUGACUGGGGCGGUCUCCUCCUAAAGAGUAACGGAGGAGCACGAAGGUUGGCUAAUCCUGGUCGGACAUCAGGAGGUUAGUGCAAUGGCAUAAGCCAGCUUGACUGCGAGCGUGACGGCGCGAGCAGGUGCGAAAGCAGGUCAUAGUGAUCCGGUGGUUCUGAAUGGAAGGGCCAUCGCUCAACGGAUAAAAGGUACUCCGGGGAUAACAGGCUGAUACCGCCCAAGAGUUCAUAUCGACGGCGGUGUUUGGCACCUCGAUGUCGGCUCAUCACAUCCUGGGGCUGAAGUAGGUCCCAAGGGUAUGGCUGUUCGCCAUUUAAAGUGGUACGCGAGCUGGGUUUAGAACGUCGUGAGACAGUUCGGUCCCUAUCUGCCGUGGGCGCUGGAGAACUGAGGGGGGCUGCUCCUAGUACGAGAGGACCGGAGUGGACGCAUCACUGGUGUUCGGGUUGUCAUGCCAAUGGCACUGCCCGGUAGCUAAAUGCGGAAGAGAUAAGUGCUGAAAGCAUCUAAGCACGAAACUUGCCCCGAGAUGAGUUCUCCCUGACUCCUUGAGAGUCCUGAAGGAACGUUGAAGACGACGACGUUGAUAGGCCGGGUGUGUAAGCGCAGCGAUGCGUUGAGCUAACCGGUACUAAUGAACCGUGAGGCUUAACCUU
rnacentral:rRNA from 1 species